AGUACAUGAGUCAGCUUACUUGUUUAGUAUACCAAUAUUUAUAGAGAAAUUAGCAUUUCUUCUGCACCCCCAUCUAGCUUAAGCUAGGAGGGCUGCACACCCUUCUCUUAUAUUCAUCUCUGAAUAAAGUUGUCAUUAUACUUUUGAAAUGUAAAUAUGUGUACUGAAUUGCUGUAUUUUAUUCUGUAUAUUCUAUUGCAUGAAAUGCACACAUUCUAAAUUUAAAUUGUUUUGUGUUAAAGAUUUUUGUGCACCAUGUAAAUCUUUAAUGACAAAGACAUGUUUUUAGUCUUGUAACCAUUAAGAAAAUAUAAUAUUUAUUAUAUUGCUGUUAUUUUGCACAUAUUUUUCACUCAGAAAUGUCUUUAUCAAAAUAA